AUGAACGCUGGCGGCGUGCCUAAUACAUGCAAGUCGAGCGAACAGACGAGGAGCUUGCUCCUCUGAUGUUAGCGGCGGACGGGUGAGUAACACGUGGAUAACCUACCUAUAAGACUGGGAUAACUUCGGGAAACCGGAGCUAAUACCGGAUAACAUGUUGAACCGCAUGGUUCAACAGUGAAAGACGGUCUUGCUGUCACUUAUAGAUGGAUCCGCGCCGCAUUAGCUAGUUGGUAAGGUAACGGCUUACCAAGGCAACGAUGCGUAGCCGACCUGAGAGGGUGAUCGGCCACACUGGAACUGAGACACGGUCCAGACUCCUACGGGAGGCAGCAGUAGGGAAUCUUCCGCAAUGGGCGAAAGCCUGACGGAGCAACGCCGCGUGAGUGAAGAAGGUCUUCGGAUCGUAAAACUCUGUUAUUAGGGAAGAACAAAUGUGUAAGUAGCUAUGCACGUCUUGACGGUACCUAAUCAGAAAGCCACGGCUAACUACGUG
rnacentral:rRNA from 1 species